rnacentral:tRNA from 1 species
GCCACGGUGGUCUAGCGGUUAGAACGCUGGCCUUGUAAUCCUGGGGUAUCUCGGGUUCGAUUCCCGGCGGUGCCC